AACGAACGCUGGCGGCAGGCUUAGCACAUGCAAGUCGAACGAUGAUGCUGGAGCUUGCUCCAGUUGAUUAGUGGCGAACGGGUGAGUAACACGUGAGCAAUCUGCCCUUGACUCUGGGAUAACUGCGGGAAACUGUAGCUAAUACCGGAUACUUUCACCGGGGGGCAUCCUCUGGUGAUGAAAGAAUUUCGGUCAAGGAUGAGCUCGCGGCCUAUCAGCUUGUUGGUGAGGUAACGGCUCACCAAGGCGACGACGGGUAACCGGCCUGAGAGGGUGACCGGUCACACUGGGACUGAGACACGGCCCAGACUCCUACGGGAGGCAGCAGUGGGGAAUAUUGCACAAUGGGCGCAAGCCUGAUGCAGCAACGCCGCGUGAGGGAUGAAGGCCUUCGGGUUGUAAACCUCCUUUAGCAGGGAAGAAGCGAAAGUGACGGUACCUGCAGAAAAAGCACCGGCUAACUACGUGCCAGCAGCCGCAGUAA
rnacentral:rRNA from 1 species